AUACGUAGGGGGCGAGCGUUGUCCGGAAUGAUUGGGCGUAAAGGGCGCGUAGGCGGCCCGGUAAGUCUGGAGUGAAAGUCCUGUUUUUAAGAUGGGAAUUGCUUUGGAUACUGUCGGGCUUGAGUGCAGGAGAGGCAAGUGGAAUUCCCAGUGUAGCGGUGAAAUGCGUAGAGAUUGGGAGGAACACCAGUGGCGAAGGCGACUUACUGGCCUGUAACUGACCCUGAGGCGCGAAAGUGUGGGGAGCAAACAGGAUUAGAUACCCUGGUAGUCCACACUGUAAACGAUGAAUGCUAGGUGUAGGGGGUAUCGACCCCUUCUGUGCCGCAGUCAACACAAUAAGCAUUCCGCCUGGGGAGUACGGCCGCAAGGUUGAAACUCAAAUGAAUUGACGGGG
rnacentral:rRNA from 1 species